UGAAGAUAGCUCAGUCAGUAGAGCACGAGUUGCUUAAUCUCAGGGUUAUGGGUUCAAGACCCACACUGGUCAAAA